rnacentral:lncRNA from 1 species
UUUCUUUUCUUUUUUUCCUUAUUGCAUGUUACAGUUAAAAGUAAGCAUAGCUACAGGUAGUUAGGACUAACUUCAAAAAGCCUUUUUGUUGUGGAGUGGCUCGGCACAGUGAGUAUCUGUGGCUGCUUGUAAUGCAACAAACUCUUCUUUCCAGAGCCCACAACAUUUAUAGGUCUUUCACCACUUACAGUGAUUUACUGCUCCAUUUGACCCAUCUUCCAAGGCUCUGCAGCUACAAGAAAACAUUUUUUUUCUCUUGGCAAUUUUACCUUCUCUCUUUUCCCAUCUUCUCUCUGGUUUGUUCCUGGGCACCUUUUACCAAGCUCUGUAUUUCGGUGGCGCUGCCUGUCCUGCCCUGUUCUCAGGGGCUCUGCUGGCAGGUCUGUCUCAAUGUCACCUGUAGUUGGGCUGUUGGGAGAAGCACUGUCUCCUGUCUGUGGUCUGUGGCAUGUGUCUGCUUCAUACAUCAGCCUAAGCUUUGAAAUGAGCCUGCAUAUGCAUUCCAGGAACAGCACAUUGUUCUAACUGGUAACAAAAAUACAUGACUAACGUGCUUCUGAUAGAGCCGCUUCCUCUUAACCUUAAAGUUGAUUUUUUGUUAAUGACUUCUUCCUCCCAUGGAAACGUGGAAAACAGUCUGGGACUGCAGGUUGUUAUUCAGUAAGAAAAACACAUGAUGAAGUUUGACAUUUCACAGGAAAAAGAUGUCUAAAGAUUUAUAUCAAUGGGUUUUAUUUACUGUUUUUCUGUUCUUGAUUUUUUUAAACCCCGAAAACAAAACUCAUGCAUUGCUAUAAAGGAGGUGGGCAAGUCUUUUUCAGCAGUGAGCAGUCUGUUGAGUCACAGUAACGUACGUUCUUUCCCCAUGCUUUUUUUCUUUAAAAGAAAGAAAUUGUUAAUCAUCUACAUGUAAAAAAUAUGGAAAAUAAACCAUUGUUUGAUCACCGUAUGUCAGAAUAAAAUUAAAAGCAGAGAGAAAACAUAACAUGAGGGCUUGACAUGGUUCGCUUUGUUCUGUUGUUCCCGUGCCCACGUGCCCAUGUUGUGUUCAUUUUUUAAAGCUAAAAAAUCAUAAAAUUCAUAGGAGAUGGGCAGCGUUUGUUCCUUAUUCAAAGCCCUUCUUCCACCACAAGGCCUCCGCUGCCUGCUAAACUUGCAGGAUAUGGAUUCUGGUCACAGGAAUGCAAACCAGUGAUUUACUCUGCUUUUUCUUCUUUUUGCCUGGGGUUUAACCAGUACAUUAGACUAAUAUUUUCUUGCUUGCUAGUGGCAGUUUCUGUUUCUUUUUUUCUUUCUUUCUUUUUUUUUUUUUUUUUUUGGUAGUGGAAGUCAUUAGAGUUUCUCCCAAGAGAAUCACUGCCAAAGUAAACAAACAUCUUCAUGAAAGGAAAAUAAUGUCUGAGGAGCAUUCAGAAUUCCAUGUUUUACAGAAGAGUAUUUAUGGCAACCAACUAGUGAAUUAAAGUGAAAGAAAUCCCAUUACUAGUUUGCUGCUUCUGCUGUGCUAAUCGAAAGUGGCAAUUUCUGCUUGCUUCUCUGCGCUACAGUGCAGGGUCUCAGUAUAAGCUGUAAUUUAAAAUGAAGGAAAUUAUGAGAUGAAACUCUUUUUAGAAGCAGUGUUAUGUUGGGUUUGCUUUUAUUUUUCUUAAUUGUUGGUAAUUGUAUAGAGCUUCUGCAUGUAAAACUCAGGGGAACUGCUAUUGUCUCCAAAAUGUUCUGCGUGUGGUUGGCAAGAACAACAAGCACAGAAGAAAGUUCAGCUAAAAAAUUCAUAAAAGCUGCCUGGUGGAAUGCAUUGCAAUCAGCUGUACACCUUGGUGCUCUUAUCCCUCUGAACUGAUCAUUUUUAGCUGAGAUGAAACAUUCUGAGGAGCAGGAGCCUGGCAGAUUUGCGGCGUAGAUUGUUUGAAGGUUUAAACACUGUGACUAUCUCAUCUUACUGCAAGUCUGUAGAUAGAACAUAAGCUCAAGUUGCUGAAAAGUGAUAGAAUGGCUCUGUGUGCACAGCCUACAAAACUGUGAAGGGCUUAUUUUCUGUGUGCUUUCUGCGUUCCCUCCAGGAGAGCAGUAAUUCCCCAGUGGAGCAAGCACACUUUGCAUUUGUUGAGGAUGAGACUGUCUCUAGUCCUUUGUUUGGGCAGCGGCUUUCACAAAGGGGACCAGUACUCACUGGGAACUUGCCAGCACCAUCAUAUGUUUCAUGACAAAUGCUAAGUGUUCAGAAAGUUGGCACUACAAAAUAGAGAUACUGUUAAUCUCUGUUUAAUUCUCAAAAUGGCUUGUAGGAUUUUAAAGCUUGUGUUGUUGCUGGUGCACUCACCCAUCAGAUAGCAUUUUUAACAGCCCUUCUAAUAUGGCCGGUUAAUUUGGUUAUAUUACUAGGAUGUAAAACAAAAUGAUUCCUAGGAUAGAGAUUGCUAGAUUGCUAAGAUUUUACUGCCGUUUUUUUCCUAUCUGCUGCGUGCUGAAGAACAGUGUGUCCAGCCACAUGUAUUGCUGUAGUCAGACCAUGGUAUUUUCUCAUCUUCUUUCCCAUGUACAGCUCAGACACAGCUGCCGCUAUUUACCAAACACAAAGGUGUUUUUCACAGCUCAGAGAGUAUGUUUGGGUUCUGCUGUAAGGAACGCGAGAUACAUCUCUAUUAAUUGCAUGAAUGUUCAGUGUAUGUUUAUGUACCUGGAUACUGUGGUGUUCUCUUUGGAAUUUUAGGGAGCGAGCUCAUAGAUCUUUGGAUACGUCUCCAGAGACAUGAUGAUUCCAGCGUCAGAAUAAUCUGCUCCAUAACGUGACCACAUUUAGGAGACCAGCUCCUGGGAGGAGACCCAAGGAGACAUCUUGAAAUUUCUGAGCAGAGAGGCUUUUGACACAGAGUUGGUGUACGCCGGAUGGCAUCCAGUUGGUAGCCUGCAUUGCUGGUGCAGCAGGAGGAAGCAAGCCUCUGACAAGAGCUAGAUAUGUCACCCUGCAGGACUGCACGGACAGCUUAAAUGGAGUGUAUGUUUGCACCUAAGCAGACUGUUAAGUAACAGAAGUGAGGUCAACAGCUCCAAGAGUGACUAUCGCAAUAUCCAGCAGCCAUAGCACUGACAUUGAGACUGGCUGGGCCAUGAGGUCAUGCUUCUGGGAGGAUGAAGAGGAAGGCCUGGAUGCACUGAGGAAGAGAGUUGAACUCAACUUUGCUAUACAGCAGAUGAAUAUUCACCCUGGUGUAUAUAUAUAUAUAAAUCUAUUUAUUUAAAAGCAAGUAAGUUCAACUUCUGAACAGUGCAUGGUAACUGUUAGGGAAGCUCUCUUUUUUUCUCCCACCCAUCUUCAUCCUCCUUUUAAACAUUCCUAACUUUGGUCGGGACUCAGAAACAAGAGCUCUUGAGUUCUUCAUGCACUUUACAUCUCUGAUCUGAUGAUCAGUUGUAAAUCAGUUUUAGCUUUGUCAUUUUCUACCAUUCAUGCUGUUGUGAUGAUAACAAAAUCAUGGAAAACCAAUAUGCCUCUUUCACCAUGUACAUUUGGAUUACGAAAAACAUAUUCUUGUGGUUCUUUCUUAGGGUUCGUUUAUAAUAUUUUAAUUAUUAAAAAAUAAAGAAAAGAAAUCAAAGAAAAUCUCCUGCCAUGAAAUAUGUAAAAAGCUGAAUAACAUAGAAUAUUUAUGCUUAAGUAUUUUGGAAAUGCGUUAUCUUUACAAAAGAAUCAUUGAAACCUGGGAAAUGUAGUGAAAAUAUUGUACUUCAAUAAAAUAUAUUAAAAAAGAAAAUAUAUCAAGUCAUCCAGGAAACCUUAAUUUUCUGCUAUAAUGAGAACUUGAGGGAAAUGUGAAGUUAAAUUUAGUUUAUUUCUGUAGGCACUAAAUUUUUAACUAUUUCUGCAUAGUUUUACUAAGAAUUAGGAUUGUACGACCUAAUCAUUAACUCCUCAACCUGCAUAAUUUUAGAUUUUUUUGCAGGCUUAAUCCAACUCUGGGACUGGAAAUCAUAUCUUCUAACUGUACAGCUACAAGAUGAAGGGACUAGGAAAAAAGCAGGGGAAAAUCAGAACUAUUAUGUUCAUCUCUUAUACAGAGAACACAAAACCUACUGUAAUUAUGUCAUUUCCUCUCUCAUUAUGGUAUUGAGAGCCCAGAUCCAUUUUUAUGUAGUGGUACAAAACAGUUUGCUAUUUAAGUAUAGCUUACAGGAGCUACUUUGCAGAAUUGAUAUUCACAUACGCCACAAAUCAAUUGUUCCCACGAUAUUAAAAGGGAAAAUUAUCUCGAUCUUUAAAAAUUCCCAAACCUUGGUAAAUCUCCUUGAGUAAUUGUGAUAUAAUUUUGGGUCAAUGUGCUUUGACCAAAGGUCAGUCAAAAUGAAUAAUCCAGGGAACAUUUGUUUUCCUAUUGGUAAUCCUUUUUUUUGUGCAUGCUUAUGCAGUUUGUUGUAAGUGAAGAGCUCAUAAUAUUUAUACGUUAGGAAAUCAAAGGGCUUUUCUCUCUUCUUUAUCUUUUUUGUCUUUCUUUUUCUUUUUCUUUUUCUUUUUCUUUUUCUUUUUCUUUUUC